UACGAAGGGGGCUAGCGUUGCUCGGAAUCACUGGGCGUAAAGGGUGCGUAGGCGGGUCUUUCAGUCAGGGGUGAAAUCCUGGAGCUCAACUCCAGAACUGCCUUUGAUACUGAGGAUCUUGAGUUCGGGAGAGGUGAGUGGAACUGCGAGUGUAGAGGUGAAAUUCGUAGAUAUUCGCAAGAACACCAGUGGCGAAGGCGGCUCACUGGCCCGAUACUGACGCUGAGGCGCGAAGGCCAGGGGAGCAAACGGG
rnacentral:rRNA from 1 species